ACUAAUACGACGAGGACCCUCUAUCGGCGGACCAGAUUCUCCACUGGAGCCAAAGUGGGAAGGACCCUAUCAAGUGCUUCUAACUACGCACAUGGUAGUCAAGGUGAAAGGGUUGGUCCCGUGGAUACAUCAUACCUGUGUGAAGGAAGUGACUCAACUGCACUGGACCUGGGCAAAUCAAACUGAACAAGACUCCUGCAUUGCAGUCAACAACAGAUCCUUUCCAAACACACCUCGCUGGGAUUUUCAACGGUCUGCACUUUGAAAUUAUGUGGGAAACGGGGAGCAUUCUUUUGUGGUGAGAAAAACAUAGGUGCCAGACUCCUUGUCGGCAAGACAACGAGGAAGAGUGUUUACUUCAUCCCAAGGGACCAGAUGGGGAUGCGACCAUCCAGAGGAGAAUACAAUGCGUGUGCCGGAGGGGAGGGACUUGAUUAAUGAAUACGUAGUGGGGUUCAACGUAAUGUAUGAACUUGACUUACAAAUAUGUAACAUUUCUGUGGACUGGUAUGCAAGUUAGGAGGAGCUAUCCCCCUUGCAUCCAGCUUUGCGCAGCGUUGAUUAAAACAUACCUGAU
ensembl:lncRNA